GCCUACGGCCAUACCACCCUGAAAGCGCCCGAUCUCGUCUGAUCUCGGAAGCUAAGCAGGGACGGGCUUGGUUAGUACCUGGAUGGGAGACCGCCUGGGAAUACCAGGUGUUGUAGGCU
ensembl:rRNA 5S_rRNA 5S ribosomal RNA